ACGGUUGUCCCGGUUUAAGCGUGUAGGUGUGUGUUCCAGGUAAAUCCGGUUCACUUUAACACUGAGGCGUGAUGACGAGGCACUACGGUGCUGAAGCAACAAAUGCCCUGCUUCCAGGAAAAGCCUCUAAGCAUCAGGUAACAUCAAAUCGUACCCCAAACCGACACAGGUGGUCAGGUAGAGAAUACCAAGGCGCUUGAGAGAACUCGGGUGAAGGAACUAGGCAAAAUGGUGCCGUAACUUCGGGAGAAGGCACGCUGACACGUAGGUGAAGUGAUUUACUCAUGGAGCUGAAGUCAGUCGAAGAUACCAGCUGGCUGCAACUGUUUAUUAAAAACACAGCACUGUGCAAACACGAAAGUGGACGUAUACGGUGUGACGCCUGCCCGGUGCCGGAAGGUUAAUUGAUGGGGUCAGCGCAAGCGAAGCUCCUGAUCGAAGCCCCGGUAAACGGCGGCCGUAACUAUAACGGUCCUAAGGUAGCGAAAUUCCUUGUCGGGUAAGUUCCGACCUGCACGAAUGGCGUAAUGAUGGCCAGGCUGUCUCCACCCGAGACUCAGUGAAAUUGAACUCGCUGUGAAGAUGCAGUGUACCCGCGGCAAGACGGAAAGACCCCGUGAACCUUUACUAUAGCUUGACACUGAACAUUGAGCCUUGAUGUGUAGGAUAGGUGGGAGGCUUUGAAGUGUGGACGCCAGUCUGCAUGGAGCCGGCCUUGAAAUACCACCCUUUAAUGUUUGAUGUUCUAACGUGGACCCGUGAUCCGGGUUGCGGACAGUGUCUGGUGGGUAGUUUGACUGGGGCGGUCUCCUCCUAAAGAGUAACGGAGGAGCACGAAGGUUGGCUAAUCCUGGUCGGACAUCAGGAGGUUAGUGCAAUGGCAUAAGCCAGCUUGACUGCGAGCGUGACGGCGCGAGCAGGUGCGAAAGCAGGUCAUAGUGAUCCGGUGGUUCUGAAUGGAAGGGCCAUCGCUCAACGGAUAAAAGGUACUCCGGGGAUAACAGGCUGAUACCGCCCAAGAGUUCAUAUCGACGGCGGUGUUUGGCACCUCGAUGUCGGCUCAUCACAUCCUGGGGCUGAAGUAGGUCCCAAGGGUAUGGCUGUUCGCCAUUUAAAGUGGUACGCGAGCUGGGUUUAGAACGUCGUGAGACAGUUCGGUCCCUAUCUGCCGUGGGCGCUGGAGAACUGAGGGGGGCUGCUCCUAGUACGAGAGGACCGGAGUGGACGCAUCACUGGUGUUCGGGUUGUCAUGCCAAUGGCACUGCCCGGUAGCUAAAUGCGGAAGAGAUAAGUGCUGAAAGCAUCUAAGCACGAAACUUGCCCCGAGAUGAGUUCUCCCUGAGACUUUAGGUCUCCUGAAGGAACGUUGAAGACGACGACGUUGAUAGGCCGGGUGUGUAAGCGCAGCGAUGCGUUGAGCUAACCGGUACUAAUGAACCGUGAGGCUUAACCUUACA
rnacentral:rRNA from 1 species